rnacentral:rRNA from 1 species
CCUACGGGGGGCAGCAGUGGGGAAUAUUGCACAAUGGGGGAAACCCUGAUGCAGCGACGCCGCGUGAGUGAAGAAGUAAUUCGUUACGUAAAGCUCUAUCAGCAGGGAAGAAAGUGACGGUACCUGAGUAAGAAGCCCCGGCUAACUACGUGCCAGCAGCCGCGGUAAUACGUAGGGGGCAAGCGUUAUCAGGAUUUACUGGGGGUAAAGGGAGCGUAGACGGUGCGCCAAGUCUGGAGUGAAAGGCCGCAGCUUAACUGCGGAAUUGCUUUUGAAACUGGCGAACUAGAGUGCCGGAGUGGUGAGCGGAAUUCCUUGUGUAGCGGUGAAAUGCGUAGAUAUUAGGAGGAAUACCGGUGGCGAAGGCGGCCUACUGGACCGUAACUGACGUUGAGGCUCGAAAGCGUGGGGAGCAAACAGGAUUAGAUACCCUUGUAGUC